rnacentral:rRNA from 1 species
GACGAACGCUGGCGGCGUGGAUUAGGCAUGCAAGUCGAACGGUAGGAUCCUUUCGGGGAUCUGAGAGUGGCGAACGGGUGAGUAACACGUAGGUGAUCUACCUUCAAGACGGGGACAACCCAGGGAAACUUGGGCUAAUACCGGAUGUGAGCUAUCGCGAGAUAGUUUGAAAGGUGGCUUCGGCUGCCGCUUGAGGAUGAGCCUGCGUCCUAUUAGCUAGUUGGUGAGGUAACGGCUCACCGAGGCAGUGAUAGGUAGGCGGCCUUAACGGGUGGUCGCCCACACUGGGAUUGAGAUACGGCCCAGACUCCUACGGGAGGCAGCAGUCGAGAAUAGUCUACAAUGGUCGAAAGACUGAUAGUGCGACGCCGCGUGAACGAAGAAGCCCUUCGGGGUGUAAAGUUCUUUUAUAUGUGAGCAGUGACACCCAUAUUAAUAGUAUGGGUGUAGAGAUAUUAGCAUAUGAAUAAGCAACGGCUAACUCCGUGCCAGC